rnacentral:rRNA from 1 species
GUCCAGACUCCUACGGGAGGCAGCAGUGGGGAAUAUUGCACAAUGGGGGAAACCCUGAUGCAGCGACGCCGCGUGAGCGAUGAAGUAUUUCGGUAUGUAAAGCUCUAUCAGCAGGGAAGAAAAUGACGGUACCUGACUAAGAAGCCCCGGCUAACUACGUGCCAGCAGCCGCGGUAAUACGUAGGGGGCAAGCGUUAUCCGGAUUUACUGGGUGUAAAGGGAGCGUAGACGGCAAUGCAAGCCAGAUGUGAAAGCCCGGGGCUCAACCCCGGGACUGCAUUUGGAACUGUGUAGCUGGAGUGUCGGAGAGGCAGGCGGAAUUCCUAGUGUAGCGGUGAAAUGCGUAGAUAUCAGGAGGAACACCGGCGGCGAAGGCGGCCUGCUGGACCGUGACUGACGUUGAGGCUCGAGAGCGUGGGGAGCAAACAGGAUUAGAUACCCGCGUAC